rnacentral:lncRNA from 1 species
ACAGGGGAUUGUGUCUGAGGAACAGGUGAUUGUGUCUGAGGAACAGGUGAUUGUGUCUUUGGAACAAGUGAUUGUGUCUGAGGAACAGGUGAUUGUGUCUUUGGAACAGGUGAUUGUGUCUGAGGAACAGGUGAUUGUGUCUGAGGAACAGGUGAUUGUGUCUUUGGAACAGAUGUUUGUGUCUUUGGAACAGGUGAUUGUGUCUUUGGAACAGGUGAUUGUGUCUUUGGAACAGGUGAUUGUGUCUUUGGAACAGAUUAUUGUGUCUUUGGAACAGAUGAUUGUGUCUUUGGAACAGGUGAUUGUGUCUUUGGAACAGGUGAUUGUGUCUGAGGAACAGGUGAUUGUGUCUUUGGAACAGAUGAUUGUGUCUUUAGAACAGGUGAUUGUGUCUUUGGAACAGAUGAUUGUGUCUUUAGGACAGGUGAUUGUGUCUUUGGAACAGAUGAUUGUGUCUUUGGAACAGGUGAUUGUGUCUGAGGAAAAGGUGAUUGUGUCUGCAACAGGUGACUGUGUCGUUGGAAAAGGUGAUAUUGUCUGAGGAACAG